GUACACACCGCCCGUCACACCAUGGGAUUUGGAUUCACCCGAAGGCACUGCGUUAACCCGCAAGGGAGACAGGUGACCACGGUGGGUUUAGAGACUGGGUGAAGUCGUAACAAGGUAGCCGUAGGUGAACCUGCAGAAGGAUCA
rnacentral:rRNA from 1 species